rnacentral:antisense_RNA from 1 species
UUCUGCGGCGGGCCGGGCAGGGAGACCUUCGGGUCUGCCGGCGAGCUGGAGUGGGCCGGUCUGCGAACCCUGUCGUCAGGCCCGCCACCCUC